rnacentral:rRNA from 1 species
GACGAACGCUGGCGGCGUGCCUAAUACAUGCAAGUAGGACGCAGUUGCGAACGGGUGAGUAACGCGUAGGUAACUACCUAUUAGAGGGGGAUAACUAUUGGAAACGAUAGCUAAUACCGCAUACUAGUAGAUGGACCUGCGUUGGAUUAGCUAGUAGGUAGGGUAAUGGCCUACCUAGGCAACGAUACAUAGCCGACUUGGGGAGGUUGUUGAGCACACCGGGACUGGGACACGGCCCAGACCCCCUCGGGAGGCAGCAGUAGGGAAUCUUCGGAAAUGGGGGGAACCCUGACCGAGCAACGGCGCGGGAUUGAAGAAGGGUUUCGGAGCGUAAAGCUCUGUUGUUAAGGAAGCGGUACUUAACCAGAAAGGGACGGCUAACUACGUGCCAGCAGCCGCGGUAAUUC